AAGGGUUUAAGUUAAAAAAACUAAUAGCCUUCAAAGCUUUAAUUGAACUUGUUACAAUUCAACCCUUG
rnacentral:tRNA from 1 species